GGGGCCGUCGUCUAGCUUGGAAGGAUGGGGUUACCCCCUCACGCGCGGGCGCCCGCCGAAUCCCGGGUUCAAAUCCCGGCGGCCCCACCA
rnacentral:tRNA from 1 species